UGGGCCAACUCAACUCAACUCAAC
rnacentral:siRNA from 1 species